AGAAUCAACGCUGGCGGCGUGCCUAACACAUGCAAGUCGAACGAGAAAGUGGGAGCAAUCCCACGAGUAAAGUGGCGCACGGGUGAGUAACACGUGACUAACCUACCCUUGAGUGGGGGAUAACCUAGGGAAACCUGGGCUAAUACCGCAUAAUACCUACGGGUCAAAGGAGCAAUUCGCUUAAGGAGGGGGUCGCGGCAGAUUAGUUAGUUGGCGGGGUAAUGGCCCACCAAGACAGUGAUCUGUAUCCGGCCUGAGAGGGCGCACGGACACACUGGAACUGAAACACGGUCCAGACUCCUACGGGAGGCAGCAGUGGGGAAUUUGCGCAAUGGGGAAACCCUGACGCAGCAACGCCGCGUGGAGGAUGAAGCCCCUUGGGGCGUAAACUCCUUUCGAUCGGGAAGAUAAUGACGGUACCGGAAGAGAAGCCCCGGCUAACUUCGUGCCAGCAGCCGC
rnacentral:rRNA from 1 species